rnacentral:misc_RNA from 1 species
AAGUCGUAACAAGGUUUCCGUAGGUGAACCUGCGGAAGGAUCAUUAAUGAAAUUCAAGGACGCUCUUUUUUAGAGGUCCGACCAAUUCAUUUUUACCUUUUACUCUGUGCACACGCUACUUUUUUACACCAUUUUUUUACCACUUAGUUCUAAGAAUGUAAAACAAGUCUCGAAAGAGCAACAUAACAAAACAAAA